AGACCCGAAACCCGGUGAUCUAGCCAUGGGCAGGUUGAAGGUUGGGUAACACUAACUGGAGGACCGAACCGACUAAUGUUGAAAAAUUAGCGGAUGACCUGUGGCUGGGGGUGAAAGGCCAAUCAAACCGGGAGAUAGCUGGUUCUCCCCGAAAGCUAUUUAGGUAGCGCCUCGUGAAUUCAUCUCCGGGGGUAGAGCACUGUUUCGGCUAGGGGGCCAUCCCGGCUUACCAACCCGAUGCAAACUGCGAAUACCGGAGAAUGUUAUCACGGGAGACACACGGCGGGUGCUAACGUCCGUCGUGAAGAGGGAAACAACCCAGACCGCCAGCUAAGGUCCCAAAGUCAUGGUUAAGUGGGAAACGAUGUGGGAAGGCCCAGACAGCCAGGAUGUUGGCUUAGAAGCAGCCAUCAUUUAAAGAAAGCGUAAUAGCUCACUGGUCGAGUCGGCCUGCGCGGAAGAUGUAACGGGGCUAAACCAUGCACCGAAGCUGCGGCAGCGAACGUAUCACCCAAGACAACUUUACGGAGUUGGCGAUUGACGGAGCGAAGCGACGUCAAAGCGUUCAUUAAAGUCGAGUUGGCUUAGGGAUACGUUCGUUGGGUAGGGGAGCGUUCUGUAAGCCUGUGAAGGUGUGUCGUGAGGCAUGCUGGAGGUAUCAGAAGUGCGAAUGCUGACAUAAGUAACGAUAAAGCGGGUGAAAAGCCCGCUCGCCGGAAGACCAAGGGUUCCUGUCCAACGUUAAUCGGGGCAGGGUGAGUCGACCCCUAAGGCGAGGCCGAAAGGCGUAGUCGAUGGGAAACGGGUUAAUAUUCCCGUACUUGGUGUUACUGCGAAGGGGGGACGGAGAAGGCUAUGUUGGCCGGGCGACGGUUGUCCCGGUUUAAGCGUGUAGGUGUGUGUUCCAGGUAAAUCCGGUUCACUUUAACACUGAGGCGUGACGACGAGGCACUACGGUGCUGAAGCAACAAAUGCCCUGCUUCCAGGAAAAGCCUCUAAGCAUCAGGUAACACGAAAUCGUACCCCAAACCGACACAGGUGGUCAGGUAGAGAAUACCAAGGCGCUUGAGAGAACUCGGG
rnacentral:rRNA from 1 species